rnacentral:rRNA from 1 species
AUUGAACGCUGGCGGCAGGCCUAACACAUGCAAGUCGAACGGCAGCGGGGGAUAGCUUGCUAUCCUGCCGGCGAGUGGCGGACGGGUGAGUAAUGCAUGGGGAGCUGCCCAGUCGAGGGGGAUGACAACUGGAAACGGUUGCUAAUACCGCAUACGCCCUAAGGGGGAAAGGUGGGGAACUUCGGUCCUACCGCGAUUGGAUGCGCCCAUGUGGGAUUAGCUAGUUGGUGAGGUAACGGCUAAACAAGGUGACGAUCUCUAGCUGGUCUGAGAGGAUGACCAGCCACACUGGAACUGAGACACGGUCCAGACUCCUACGGGAGGCAGCAGUGGGGAAUAUUGCACAAUGGGGGAAACCCUGAUGCAGCCAUGCCGCGUGUGUGAAGAAGGCCUUCGGGUUGUAAAGCACUUUCAGUCAGGAGGAAGGGGUGAUGGCUAAUAUCCAUCAUCAUUGACGUUACUGACAGAAGAAGCACCGGCUAACUCCGUGCCAGCCGCCGCAGUAA